rnacentral:tRNA from 1 species
GUCGCGGUAGCUUAGCCUGGAAAACUUCUUUCAGAAGUUUAGGUAAGAGAGCGCAGGACUGAAGAUCCUGUUGUCGGGAGUUCGAAUCCCCCCCGCGACACCA